rnacentral:tRNA from 1 species
UCCCCUAUCGUCCAAUGGUAGGACGUGAGACUUUGGAUCUCAUCAUCGUGGUUCGAAUCCACGCGGGGGAA